rnacentral:rRNA from 1 species
UACCAGCACCCCCGAGUGGUCGGGACGUUUAUUGGGCCUAAAGCAUCCGUAGCCGGUUCUACAAGUCUUCCGUUAAAUCCACCUGCUCAACAGAUGGGCUGCGGAAGAUACUAUGGAGCUAGGAGGCGGGAGAGGCAAGCGGUACUCGAUGGGUAGGGGUAAAAUCCGUUGAUCCAUUGAAGACCACCAGUGGCGAAGGCGGCUUGCCAGAACGCGCUCGACGGUGAGGGAUGAAAGCUGGGGGAGCAAACCGGG